AGCAGUAAAAGGCAUGUACGAACAUCUGAUGGAAAAAAAAAUAUACAUAUAUGAUCUAAAUUUCAAUAUUUGCAUUAGAAAGAGAGCAAUAUGAGAUUCAAGGUUGGUAUUUACGUGAAUGGAAAGAGCUAGGAUUUGCUACUAUCAAUUUGUAAUCAUCAUUAGCAACCCAAUAUUCGUUUUGCGACGUAUGGUUUUCUCUAUAUGAACUAUUCAUAUAUAGGGGGAAAAAAAGCUUAUGCAAUUGAAAAGCGAACUACCCACAUGCAAAAAG
rnacentral:misc_RNA from 1 species